rnacentral:lncRNA from 1 species
AUGCACACACUUGUGUUACAUGCACAUAUUCCCACAUUCACAAAUACACUUCUAUUAAGCAUUUCGUUAGUUUGCCUACGAACCCUCAGUGAGGGUUUCAGGGCUGCAGGGAGGUGUCAUUUGACACAGUGCAUAGUUCCCACUGUCUUGCAGUUCCUUCUCCCCACUUUCACCAUCUUUCCCCACCUCUUCACUCCAUUUCUCCAGCAGUGCCCCACCCCAGCAUCAAAUCCUUGUCUCUCUUUUGCAGAAGCUUUCUGCCAUGCACCCUGGAGCCAGGGGCAGCCCAUACCUCUGUCUGUGGAUCUCCACCCCCCAGAACACCAGGAGAGUCUCCAUCUCAAUGCUCAGCUGAGCAAGGACGGGCCACACAGACCACACCAGCAGUGGGUUGGCGCAUGCUGUGUUUACAGCAUCUUCAUCACUCGCUCAGGAGCCCCAGAACUCAGGCUUGUCAUUCCCCAGACACUUUUUGAGCACCAUGCUGAAGGUCGUGGAGCUGGCCUUGGGGCCAGGGAGCCCGGCUACACUCCACCUUGUGACACAGCUGUGGGACUUGGGUAAGUCAUGUCUGUGGCCUCUAACCGCAGUUUCCUCCUCUGUAAAAUGGGGAUGAGAAUGUCU